UAGAAAGAGAGAAAUCAGAAUUUGAGAAUUGGAGAAGUUAGCAGAGGAGAAGAAAAGAAGCGUGAAAGAGAGAAGGGGAGAAAAGAGAAGAAAAACCUAGAAUUUGAUCUUCAAGAGGUACUGGAGGUAGAGAUGUGGCUCAUGAGGAGUAGCUUCGGAGAGUCUUAGUUUAUGUUAUUAUUAUUAUUAUAAUAAAAUAAGUGUCUUGCUCUGUAAUGUAACACUGGGUAGAUAUUUUAAGUUACUUUUACAUUUUUGUUGAGAGGAUUUUAUAACCUCUCCUUAUGGAAGUUGUUGAAUAAUUUUCUAAAUUAUGACGAUGUCGUACUGUUGAUGGCUCAAGUGCCUAUGAAAUUCAGUUUUGAGUA